GACAGCGCGCGCAGGUGCAGCAGGAGAGGCUCGGCGGUCACACCAGCUGCGCAAUGCGGCGACAUGUCCCGCUUUUUCUGCUACACUUUCUAACUUUCUCUCAGAGCUUAUAACGCGCUUAUGUCCGUGUCAUGGAGGAUGAAGAGGUUGUGAUCGAUGACUGAUGAGAGAAUAUGAAGGAGGAUGAUGGAACGGGAUGUUUCCAGAUGGACCGUGGCAGAGGGUUGGGGUCAGAGCGCAGGGUCAGCCAUGAUGCAGCACCCCUGGAGCAGGAAUGGGGCUGAGGGCUUUGCUUGACUGUCCAACUGUGGCAGCUUGAAUGAUUUUUGGUCUAACUAUACCAGUGUAAAAGUUACCGAGACCUAUCUGGAAAUGUCAGCAAAAGGAGAAAAUGACAAAAGAUCAAAAACAUUUGACAAAAGGAAAUCCCAUGCCAAUCAGCACAUCAACAAAACUGAGGACAAGAGAUCAACAAAAUUCAACAAUAUGAACAGAAAAAGUCAGAAAUGACAAAUAAACAGUCCGCAAACUACUUUUUUUCCUUUCCUGAACAAAAAAUAAAAACAUUAAAAACUCCCAUAACAGAU